UGCCUCUAGCCAGGUCUUCUCUGCCAAGAGAAGGAAAAGAACAAGAAAAUGUAUUGGUUUUGUGUUUUGCUUUUAACAAUUCUAAACUGACUAGAACUAUAAACUGUAAAGAAUACAGACAAUGUCGGAGGGAAGAGGAGACCUGGCUUCCAUAGUAGAGAGACCUCACGAAGGAGAGCUUCUGACACUCUGAGUCAACCUACCCCUCAGAUGCGUCACCAGCCUACCCGACAUUCUGCAGCUGCCCACAGUGAAAGCUGCCUCUCCACUGUGCCAAGGCUAGACCACACCCAUUAUCAGGAUCCUUGAAGGUGCCAUUGCCUGGGCCAGGAAAGAAUGAACAGAAGAGAACCUGGAAUAAGGCUUUGGGGGAGAACUGCUUUGCUUUCAUGAAUGGUUAGCCAAGGCUGGGUUCUGUAACAUCAUCUCUCGGACUUUGCUGACACUUUUGAAGAAUUCAUAGGAUUUUAUUCCAGCCCCUUGACAUCUCUGAAAGGUCUUCAAGGAGCAGAUUAACACACAGGGAGAAGUUGAGUAUCUGUCUGGCACAGUACAGAGAGAAGUUUGAAGACAGUGUACUUCUGGGUAAAAACUUGUGUGAUCCUGAAGAGCCAUAUUCCUAUCUGACAGACAGCUUCUUCGCGGUCUUGGACUGGCAUCUGCACAUGGAACUUCCUCUAAUCAUGGGAUGGUGGAAAGAAAAUUCCAGCAACCCAACGGCAUCUUGAGCACAAAACUGGACAGUCGGUGUAAUCUCUCGUGAUCAAAGGGUCUGGUGAUUGGAGACAUGAGGACUAGCUACUUCACCUGUCACCAUCCACCAUCAAGGAAAGUCAAGGCAGGAACCCAGGCAGGAACUUGAAGGCAAGCCUGGCUUCUCUUCCACACAGCAUCACCUACAACCAAGGAACUCACUUCAUAAGCAAAUAAGUGCAGCAGGAACCAUGGGGGAUGCUACUUAAUGGCCGACGCACGGGCUUAUGCUGAGCUAGUUCUUCUAUAGUGUACACCCCUCAUAGGGUUGGUACUGCCCACAGUGGGCAGGGCCCUCCUAAAUUAGUUGUUGUCCUUGAUUAAUAAUCAAGACAAACCCCCUAUAGACAUGCCCACAGCCCAGCCUGACCUAGACAAUCUCUCAAUUGAGGUUUUCCUCUCAGAUAAUUCCAGGCUAUGUCAAGCUAGCAGCUGACAGCUAGGCUCACAGCUCACAAAUCUCAAACUGUGCUAAAUAAAAAGGGUAUGUCUUAGAACCCUGACUCAACAGAGCCAGUUCUUUCAGUGUUUCCACUGUUCACUCCCUGCCGUGGGGAGUGGGAAGGUGGCCUGAGUCCUGUCGUGCUGUGUAGUGGCCAAUCCACUGCCAGGCAGUCUGACAAGACCAGCUAGCUUCAGGUCCAGAGAGAGACCCUGCCUCAGAAACUAACAGGAGGACCAGCUGAGGAAAGGCAUUCCAAAGUCAACCUCUGUGCACACAUGCACUUGCGGCUGAGCACACCAGCGUGAACACACACACUUUUAAAGCACGUGAGAGGGUCAGUCGCCCACCCUUCACUUCCCUCUCGGUAGUCAUGGGCUUCUGAACCCAGUUCAAGUAUUUUUCAAGAAGACAAAGACUUCUCCAGAGAAGACCAGUUCCUUCUGCUGCAUGUUAAUGCUCAGACACUCCAGCCCCUGCCCUGGCCAUUGGGAGCCACGGGAUACAAUAGCUUCCUUUGUGCGUCUCUCCUAAUCUGCAAAACAGAUGCAGCUUGGACAGUCUCCAUUAGGCCGUCCUCAGGACACACGAGGCCCGACCACUCUGGCACAUGGUACUGCAUUCCCAGUGGGCAGUAUCCCCAUAAAUCAGACAACUGAUUCCAACUCUAAAAUGUGUGGCAAAGGGGUUCUGGCGGAAAGAGCCAAUGUUGUUCACUUGUGACUUUUUGUCUAAUCAUUGAAUUCCCAUAAAAUCCACAUGGUAUGAAGCAAGAUGGGCUAUAAUAAAAAGAUGGUUCUGAA